ensembl:lncRNA
GGGAAAGAGGGAAGCAGUGGGAUGAGAUUACUGGAGGCACCUUGUAAAGCUGUCUGCAGCGUCCAGCCUUUUCAAGGAACUUCAAAGGCUCCGUCUCUUUUGCUACUGCUAGUUCUACUUGUCAAAGCACAGCUCAGUGACAGAUCCUUUAAGGUGAGAGAAGGGUUUGAAAUGACGGAUAAUACUUCCACCACCUCCCAGAACCCGGGGAAAGGUUCCAGAAAGAAAGGGGACAAAACCAGGUAGUUCAGAGAUGCGGAAGAAAGGAGCUAAGAGAAAUUUUCUGAAGAUAAAGAAAGAAAGCUUCUCCACAGCUGACGUAAAAUUCACACUUUCCAAAUGACAGUGCAGGUUUCCAGCAUACUCUUAUGACAGUGCACUCUGGACUAAAAAGACUUACUUUUAAGGUAAGAAAGAAGGUCUGUGUCCUGUCACCCCAGUGGAGCCAUGGACUCUUUAACCAUUUGGAUUGCUUUGGCU